CCUAAAAACAAACACUUAAACCUUCCAUGUUUUUGUUUAAGCUACUCAUUUGGAUUUUCUGUCCCGUCAAGGGAGCAUCAUCCUACACGAUGUCCUUGACAUACCUGUCAUCCCUGGGAUGUUUGGUAGCAACUGAUUUUCUACCCUUGUAGUUGAGGGAAAGAAAAAGCAAGAGUGAGAAGCCAUUUCUUUCCUCGCUCACUAAAUGGAGGAAUGGAACUUGGUGGUCUGGAAGUGCUGAGGCGGAUCUCGUGCCAGGCGGUGUCCUGUGACAGAGAGGGGAGAGGCGCUGAGCCCUGGGUGAGGAUGCCGGAACCUGCCCCACAGGAAAGCAUGUGCUUCUAGAAUACUAGAAAGGGCCAGAACCUUGGGAUCCUGGAAAGACCUUGAGCGCCUGGAGACCGGGAGCUUCCCUUUGGCUUGUUUACUGGUCAGGGAGGGGCCAGCUGCUCUCUGCUCUUUGACAAGAUGCACUUGUUAAAAUAGUUGGCGGGAAGGUCAUACUAUCGGAUUUAUUCUGAGGGGGCAGAGGUUCGCUCUUGCCCACAGCAGCCUGUCUUCCUCUUGCAACAGAAAGGCCCAUGCUGGGGGACAGAGUGUGACCCCAUCAGUUUCCACAGGUGCACUUGGAGGAGAAGGAGCAGGGUCUUAGCACGGUCCUCAGGCAUCUCCAGGGAGGCUAUGCCAGGGGAGAAGGCAGCCAGGCCCGGCUCCCACGUGGAACUCCACGCUCUCCACCUACCCAGCGAUUUUCCCUCUCGAGGCAAGGAGCAUCUCACUCCCAGGUCCAGGAGGCCUUGAUUUACUUAUUAAUUAUGGCUCCUACAUCCAACCGGUCUCCUUAGUAACCAGAGUAGCAGAGUCCCAGCCGGAAACGCUGCUUCUUAUUUCCAAAGAGGACAACACUCUUCACAUUUAAAAACAUUUUUAAGUUGGAACACAAAUGGCAAGAAUAUACAGGGACACAUUUCCCAACUUUGCAUCAAAAUAUGGGUGGGCUUUUGGACGACUGACAGCAAGAGGAAUUCAGUGAUCAAUAAGAGGACAUAAGAGCAAGGUUUAAGGUGAAGAGUUGGGUACGACUUAUGACCCCAGUGUCCAGCUGAGAAGGGGUGCUGUGAGAACAGAAGGAGUUCUACGCUGGAGAGGCCGGUCUUGGUGACGAGAGAUAUGCUAGUGAAUGGAGGCCAGCGCAGGUUAUACCGCAGUGGCCCAGAUCAGGAAAUCUCGUCUCCAAACUCUUUGUCGCCACCACUGCGGGAGUCGUGACAGCCAGCUCCAGCAGGAACCUGUGCUGAAGUGGAAAAGGGCCCCUUCCAACCCUGUCUCCCCUGCCUCACAUCAAACUGUUGGCUUAACGCGGGUAGAAUGCCAUUUCACGAAACUGUUGUUGUUCAUGUGAGAUGACUAUCUUCCCAAAGCUAUUUUGUGGUUCUGGAAGAGGAAAACACAAAAUAGAUUUUUUCUUUUCCUUUUUGGGACAGAAAGUAGUUUUGGUUCUUUGCAAAAUAAAACAAUGAAUCGCUAA